AAACUCCGUACAGUCAGCACCCGUAGUCGGGAUCGAACCCGGUGGAUUCUAUAAGUACGGCACUGGUGAGGCCAUAACUAACUAUGGCAUUGUGUGUUGGGAACAAUGUAAACGGAA